CUGACAUGCCAGGCACAGAGGGUCUGCAGGCCCAGGCGCCACUGGACGGGGCUAUCAAGGUGAUUCCAGAGGGCAGCUCAAGUUCCACCAUCUUCUAGGAAUCACCUGCUGACAUCCCCAGACCACGGUAAUCCUCCUACCCUCUGAUGUCAGUCAUUUUGUGGGGGAUGUACACAGACUCUGCAGAGUGGUCUCCAAUCAACUGAAGGAAGGAGCAGACUUCAAAUGAUAUCUGUGACGGCUGGACAGAGUUAGAGCCUGGUGACUGAACAUAAAGCACAAGAGGGAUGAGAAAUGGAAACAGCAACAUAGAAUGCUUCAUGUUCAAGUUCACACCCUAUGCAAGGCCCGGAUCAACCUCAACUACCAACUCCAGUAACCAUUUCCAUUAGCAUGGUGUGGACCUCA